UUCUUUUAUUCAAAUUCAGACAGAUGCAGAUGAAGAACUCAGGGAGAAGAUGGAAAUCGAAAUGAGGGUUUAUGAGCUUCAACUGAAAACAAAAUGGGUUCGGUAGAUUGUCUCAGACGGAUAGAAGACAUGAGCAGAUUUAUGAAGACCUAAGGUUCUACUGUAUUGAAUGAUUGAUAGAAUCAGCGCUAGGGUUUGUGUUGGAUGUAUGACUCUGUGACAGAUUUGAACAUUCGAAGUGAUUAAAGGGGAAGCUGAGCUCGAUUUCAAUCAUAAGAAAAUGGGUUUGAAGUAUGAAGACGGCAGAAUUGAAUCUGAUUGAAUUGGUUUUAAUGGAUUUCCGAAGUUGAGAAGAACAAGAAGUUGCUGCCAGUAUUGGUGUUAGGAAGGAAGAAAUUGAAAAUAUGGGUUCUCUGUGUAGUGGUAUUAUUGAAGAAUAGGAAUGGGAUCUGAUGAAGAUGAUGGCAAUUAGAAGGAAUGGGCUUGAAUUGAUUCCGCGAGAAAGAGAUGAAAACAGUAACUCCUGCCGUCGAUUGUGAGAGAAGAAAAUUAGAGUCUGUUAUUGAUUCAGGAGAUGAAGAAGAACAAUGGGUAUUGAGCAACUGGUAUUGGUGGUAUGUCUCUGGAACAGUUGGUAUUGAGCUGAUGAUGUUGGUUCAGCUGCUACUGUGUGCAGUAAUGAGAAUGAGCUGCAGGGAUUACUGUGGAGCUAAGAAGCUGAAAUGGUGGUGCAAAUAGUGCAAUGAGCUACAGAUGAUGUAAUUGGAGUUGAGGAAUGAUGAAAUGAUGGGUUUGUGGUGAAUUGACACAGGUGAACAUGAGAAGCAGAUGAGGAGUUUCAGGUUAUGCUUUGUGCUGAGAAAGGAGGAAGUUGGUUUCUGUGGUUGGCAGCUAGAAUUCGAAAUGGCUCGAGGUUGUGGCUAAAAGGUCAAGCCAACGGUGUUACUGCUAAUGAGAUGAGCUCUAAUUGCAAUUGCAGGGAGGAGAAGAACGAGAAUGCAACAGUGACAGAGGUGGUGGUGCUGUUAUGCUACUACAAUGGACUGGCAAGUAUAUGCAGUUACAGAUGGUAAAGGAGAUUUGUUGCAGUCGAGAAUCAAGUGGAGUUUCAAGACCCUCAAUCAAUCAAGUAGGGUUUAGGGAAGAUGGGUUGCAGCUGAGGACUCAAAGCUUGAGCAGGGGAGAUAAGUUGCAGCUGAACUAGUGGUGUUGGUUGCUAUUGAAGCUGCAGAAUGGAACUGGUGGUGUGGUUCGAUGGCUGGAGGAUUUAGCUGCAAUGGAGAUUGAAGACGAGAAGAAAGCAUGAUGUUGUUGGUUCAAUGACUAAGUAGACAUGCACAGAGUUUGGGAGCUGUUCUUGCUGCUGAGGUUUGCGAGCAGCUAUUGCAGGAGAUGAAAAAUAAGUAGAGAAGAAUUGAGAGUCUGAAGUGAUGGAGCUGUCAUGGCAGUGGUGGAAUUGGAGCUAUAGGAAAUAGAUGGGAAUGUGUUGCAAUGCAAUGAAGGCAAGGAUCUGUAGCUGUUGCUGCAAAUAGGAGCCUUGCUGCAUUAGAUAUUUGUGUGACUGAAUGGGUAUGAAUGCUAGAUGAAUGUUAGGUUUGCAGGGAAGAAGAAAAUAGCCAGAAAUUGGCCUGAUAAUUGUCUUGAAACAAAGGAGACUUUGUUGGAUUUUUCACUGUAGCGAGUUAACUCAGUGACCCGGUCCGACUCAGCUGACUGGUUCAACUCGAAUGGACUUGGACCUGCCUUGACUGGGCUUCAUUCAUGGGCUGCGCCAGAGACUGAUUUUUGGGCGUGACAGAAAUCAGUGGAGAAAGAAAAAAAGAGAUAAAAAGGAACUUUUGUCUCAAUUAUUUGAUACAUGAUCUUCUUCUACAACUUUGGUUUUCUAGGGUUUAGGAACAUGAUAGGUUUUCUCUUCCUUUUUGUUAUGAACUCCUAUGCUAUGAGUACCUAGUUUUAUUAUUGGUUUGAGGAAUAAGUUGGAUUUCCAAAUAUGGGUUUUUAUGAAAUGAAUUAGUUAUGUCUCCA